GACGAACGCUGGCGGCGUGCUUAACACAUGCAAGUCGAACGGGAUUUAGUAAACAGAAGCCUCGGUGGAAGAUUACUAAUGAGAGUGGCGAACGGGUGAGUAACGCGUGAGCAACCUGCCUAUGACAGUGGGAUAGCCUCGGGAAACCGGGAUUAAUACCGCAUAAAAUCGUAGAAACACAUGUUUUAACGGUCAAAGAUUUAUCGGUCAUAGAUGGGCUCGCGUCUGAUUAGCUAGUUGGUGAGGUAACAGCCCACCAAGGCGACGAUCAGUAGCCGGUCUGAGAGGAUGAACGGCCACAUUGGAACUGAGACACGGUCCAAACUCCUACGGGAGGCAGCAGUGGGGAAUAUUGCACAAUGGGGGAAACCCUGAUGCAGCGACGCCGCGUGAACGAAGAAGGUAUUCGUAUCGUAAAGUUCUGUCCUAUGGGAAGAUAAUGACAGUACCAUAGAAGAAAGCUCCGGCUAAAUACGUGCCAGCAGCCGCGGUAAUACGUAUGGAGCGAGCGUUGUCCGGAAUUAUUGGGCGUAAAGGGUACGCAGGCGGUUUAAUAAGUCGAAUGUUAAAGAUCGGGGCUCAACCCCGUAAAGCAUUGGAAACUGAUAAACUUGAGUAGUGGAGAGGAAAGUGGAAUUCCUAGUGUAGUGGUGAAAUACGUAGAUAUUAGGAGGAAUACCAGUAGCGAAGGCGACUUUCUGGACACAAACUGACGCUGAGGUACGAAAGCGUGGGGAGCAAACAGG
rnacentral:rRNA from 1 species